rnacentral:rRNA from 1 species
GAUGAACGCUGGCGGCGUGCCUAAUACAUGCAAGUCGAGCGAACAGACGAGGAGCUUGCUCCUCUGACGUUAGCGGCGGACGGGUGAGUAACACGUGGAUAACCUACCUAUAAGACUGGGAUAACUUCGGGAAACCGGAGCUAAUACCGGAUAAUAUAUUGAACCGCAUGGUUCAAUAGUGAAAGACGGUUUUGCUGUCACUUAUCGAUGGAUCCGCGCCGCAUUAGCUAGUUGGUAAGGUAACGGCUUACCAAGGCAACGAUGCGUAGCCGACCUGAGAGGGUGGUCGGCCACACUAGAACUGGAACAGGGUCCAGACGCCUGAGGGAGGCAGCAGUAGGGAAUCUUCCGCAAUGGGCGAAAGCCUGACGGAGCAGCGCCGCGUGAGAGAUGAAGGUCUUCGGAUCGUAAAACUCUGUUAUUAGGGAAGAACAAAUGUGUAAGUAACUAUGCACGUCUUGACGGUACCUAAUCAGAAAGCCACGGCUAACUACGUG